rnacentral:rRNA from 1 species
CCUGGUGGAUGCCUUGGCAUGGGAUGGCGAUGAAGGACGUGGGGUAUCUGCGAUAAGCCUCGGGGAGCUGUUACCAAGCUUUGAUCCGUGGAUUUCCGAAUGGGGCAACCCGGCGAGGUUCAUCCCUCGUCAUUUUCACCUGAAUGUAUAGGGUGGGAAAGCAAACCCAGGGAACUGAAACAUCUAAGUACCUGGAGGAAAGUAAAGCAACAGCGACUCCCUCAGUAGCGGCGAGCGAAGGGGGAACAGCCUAAACCGAAAGUACCUAACGGUCCGUAUGGCCUAUGUGCGAUCGGGGUUGUGGGAGGAUCCAGUCGGUGUACGGGCCGGCAGGGAGUUACAAAGCAUUUGGGUAGUUGAAGCGCUCUGGAAAGGCGCGCCGUAGAGGGUGAAAGUCCCGUAAGCGAAACCUGAAUGCCUCCCGGAUCUUUUCCCGAGUAGCGCCAGACACGUGGAACCUGGCGUGAAGCAGGGGGGCCCACCCCCCAAGGCUAAGUACAAGCCCAUGACCGAUAGUGCACAAGUAGCGUGAGUGAAAGGUGAAAAGAACCCCUGUUAGGGGAGUGAAAUAGAAUCUGAAACCAGGUAGCUACAAGCAGUGGGAGGGCGUCUAGUCAUCUUCGGAUGACCCGGCCUGACCGCGUGCCUUUUGUAUCAUGAUCCGGCGAGUUACGGUUAGCUGCUCGGUUAAGCCCUUCCGGGGCGGAGCCAGAGCGAAAGCGAGUGCGAAACGCGCGUUGCCUUCGGGCAGGUAGUUAGCCGUAGACGCGAAAACGGGUGAUCUAACCAUGGGCAGGGUGAAGCGUGGGUAAAGCUGCGUGGAGGCCCGAACACACUGGUGUUGAAAAAUCAGGUGAUGACCUGUGGUUAGGAGUGAAAGUCUAAUCAAACCCGUAGAUAUCUCGUUCUCCCCGAAAUGAUUUUAGGAUCAGCCUCGGGUGAAUUGUCCAGAUGGGGGUAGAGAUACUGAUUGGGUCUGGGGGGCUACCCGCCUACCCUUCCCAACCAAACUCCGAAUACUGUCUGGAUUUACCCCGGGAGUGAGACCGUGGGGGAUAAGCUUCACGGUCGAGAGGGAAACAGCCCAGAUCGUCGGCUAAGGUCCCCAAGUAUGUGCUAAGUGCUAAAGGAAGUGACUCUGCAGAGACAGCCAGGAUGUUGGCUUAGAAGCAGCCACCAUUUAAAAAGUGCGUAAUAGCUUACUGGUCGAGCAGGGUUGCGCCGAAAAUGAACGGGACUCAAGCACAUCACCGAAGCUGCGGAUUCUUAGGCCGUUGGUGCCUAGGAGUGGUAGGGGAGCGUUGCAUGCGGGUCGAAGCCUUACCGCAAGGAGGGGUGGACUGCAUGCAAGUGAUUAUGCCGGAACGAGUAGCGAGAAACUGAGUGAGAAGCUCAGUCGCCAUAAGCCUAAGGUUUCCUGGGGCAGGUAAUUCCGCCCAGGGUUAGGCGGGUCCUAAGGCGAGGCCGAAAGGCGUAGUCGAUGGGUAACCGGUUAAUAUUCCGGUGCUACGUUAGGUUGAGCGAUGGGGGGACAGGGUUCCAAAGAUCUACCCACCACUGGAUGUGUGGGGUUAAGCCUGAGGGAGGGUCAUAGGUAAAUCCGUGACCGUAAUCCCAGGGGUGAUGACGAGGCAAUUGCGCCGAAGUGAUUGGCGGGACCUUCAAGAAAAGCCUCUAAGUGUUUGAGNCCUAGCGUAUCCGUACUAAAACCGACACAGGUAGGCGAGGAGAGUAUCCUAAGGCGCUCGAGAGAACCUUCGNUAAGGAACUCGGCAAAAUGGCCCCGUAACUUCGGGAUAAGGGGUGCUCGGGANUGUGAAGGGGUUCGCCCCCGGAGCGNUUCUGAGUCACAGCAAAUCGGCUCGUCCAACUGUUUAUCAAAAACACAGCACUGUGCAAAGGCCUAAAGCCUACGUAUACAGUGCGACGCUUGCCCGCUGCCGGUAGGUUAAGGGGAAGGGUNAAGACCNUCGGGUCUGAAGCUCAUAACCGAAGCCCCGGUGAAGGGCGGCCGUAACUAUGACGGUCCUAAGGUAGCGAAAUUCCUUGUCGGGUAAGUUCCGACCUGCAUGAACAGCGCAAUGAGAUGAGCACUGUCUCAACGAAGGACUCGGCGAAACUGAAUUCGAGGUGAAGAUGCCUCGUACCCGCGGGUAGGCGGAAAGACCCUAUGAACCUUUACUGCAGCAUAUUAUUGGGUCUAGAUAUACCUUGUGUAGAAUAGGUGGGAGGCUUUGAUGGUGGGGCGCUAGCCUUGCCGGAGCCAUUAGUGAAAUACCACUCUUUGUAUAUUUGGACUCUAACCGGGCGCCGUAAUCCGGGUCUGGAACAGUUGUAUGUGGGCAGUUUGACUGGGGCGGUCUCCUCCUAAAGAGUAACGGAGGAG